GAGGAGGAGGGGGAGUAAGAAGUAAGAUAUAUUCUGUACGUGCACCUACUCCCCACAUUGAAUGUAGUCAUUGUGUACUGCAAACAUGUACUAAAAAAACGGUGAAUUGUUGUAAUUUAUAUCUAGCUGUCCCUCCAAAACCUCAUGAGCUCAGAGGGGGGCUUUUGGAAGGAGAUUGCAUUACUGCAAUCAUUACUGCUCAGAGGGGGGCUUUAUAGCUGACUUGCUGAUAGGAGGUAGGGUCUUGUUGGAAGAGGUGGUUGUCUGGGGGGCUCCUGGGGGGAUUAUUUCCCCCUGGGAACCUCCCUUCACUCUGCUCCUGUCUGCCAUGCUGUGGGCAGCCCUUGCCACUGUGCCCCUCUCCCAUGGCAUCCUGCAGUGGGUUCAGCUGACUAUGGACUGAAAUCUGAGGCAAACCAAACCCGUCCUCCCUUAAAUUGUCAGUGUCAGGUAUUUUGUCCAAGCCACAAGGCAAGUGACAAAGACGUGGAUCAUAGCUGUCUUGCAAGGCAGUUAUGAGAAUUAACAUAUGUGAAUUACAUGGUCUGUGUUUGCCAUUAGUCAUUACUUAAGCCUUAAUAUCUCUGAAAGUGUCAAGCAGUUCCAUGAAUUCAACUCUGUUUCUGGCAUUUAUUAACCUUAGAGCAGACUCCUGUGUUGUUUGCUUUUGAAAUAUUUUUCAUAUGUCUUCAUUUCUCAAUCUAAAAGUUCUCUCAAAAUGUCUAGUUCCUCCACAAUUCUGCUUCAGGGGUCAGGCUGUUCUUAUCCUCAGAUCCAUGUCAGAUCCAUGUUGGAAAUCCAUUUUUAAUCCAUUCCAGAUGUGAAGACAGCCGUGACAGCACAACUAAAGACAGUCACGGAAGAGGACUCCCAGACCUGCUUCAGAAAGCAGCAAGAAUGAUGGGAUGUGUUGAAGAGCACAAAAAUGGGCAUCAAAUCAAUAUGAACACUCGUGGCCUUUCUAGUCAUACAAAAGUAAAUACAUUGGAUGCAAUAAAGGUUGGCUCAAUGGAAGGUGAGGUUAUUAAUUCAAGCACAGAACACUGACUUGAUGGCAGGGUUUCUCUGACAAGUAUGUGGUCUGAUCAAAAUAUACAAUGAAUGUUUAAACAAAAAGAAUUUAUUACAGUACAAAGACACAUUAUCAUGAAUCUCCCUCAAAUAUUCCCCCUCACUUUGAACACACUCAUCUCAUCAUUCUUGCCAUGUUUUGAAGCAGUUCUGGA
rnacentral:lncRNA from 1 species